rnacentral:rRNA from 1 species
AUUGAACGCUGGCGGCCGGCCUCCCCCCUGCACGUCGAGCGGAUGAAGGGAGCUUGCUCCUGGAUUCAGCGGCGGACGGGUGAGUAAUGCCUAGGAAUCUGCCUGGUAGUGGGGGAUAACGUCCGGAAACGGGCGCUAAUACCGCAUACGUCCUGAGGUAGAAAGUGGGGGAUCUUCGGACCUCACGCUAUCAGAUGAGCCUAGGUCGGAUUAGCUAGUUGGUGGGGUAAAGGCCUACCAAGGCGACGAUCCGUAACUGGUCUGAGAGGAUGAUCAGUCACACUGGAACUGAGACACGGUCCAGACUCCUACGGGAGGCAGCAGUGGGGAAUAUUGGACAAUGGGCGAAAGCCUGAUCCAGCCAUGCCGCGUGUGUGAAGAAGGUCUUCGGAUUGUAAAGCACUUUAAGUUGGGAGGAAGGGCAGUAAGUUAAUACCUUGCUGUUUUGACGUUACCAACAGAAUAAGCACCGGCUAACUUCGUG